rnacentral:ncRNA from 1 species
UCGCAUACUGGCUGCGAUGGUUCCCUUCGGGGAUCAAAAGGGAACACGGUGCGGCUUUACCGCUCAAACCGUGGCUGCCCCCGCAACUGUAAGCGGCGAGCCGCGCGCCAUAGACGCCACUGGGCAACCGGGAAGGCGGCGCAAGGCAGAGACCCGCGAGCCAGGAGACCUGCCAUCAGCCGUGGUCACGCG